GAUGAACGCUAGCGGCAGGCCUAACACAUGCAAGUCGAGGGGCAGCAUAAAGAUAGCUUGCUAUUUUGGUGGCGACCGGCGCACGGGUGCGUAACGCGUAUGCAACCUACCCUGUACUGGGGGAUAGCCCGGAGAAAUUCGGAUUAAGCCCCCAUGGUAUUAUUUUAAUGCAUGUUAGAAUAAUUAAAGGAUACGGUACAGGAUGGGCAUGCGUCCUAUUAGCUAGUUGGAGAGGUAACGGCUCACCAAG
rnacentral:rRNA from 1 species